rnacentral:rRNA from 1 species
GGUUAAGCGACUAAGCGUACACGGUGGAUGCCCUGGCAGUCAGAGGCGAUGAAGGACGUGCUAAUCUGCGAUAAGCGUCGGUAAGGUGAUAUGAACCGUUAUAACCGGCGAUUUCCGAAUGGGGAAACCCAGUGUGAUUCGUCACACUAUCAUUAACUGAAUCCAUAGGUUAAUGAGGCGAACCGGGGGAACUGAAACAUCUAAGUACCCCGAGGAAAAGAAAUCAACCGAGAUUCCCCCAGUAGCGGCGAGCGAACGGGGAGGAGCCCAGAGCCUGAAUCAGUGUGUGUGUUAGUGGAAGCGUCUGGAAAGGCGCGCGAUACAGGGUGACAGCCCCGUACACAAAAAUGCACAUGCUGUGAGCUCGAUGAGUAGGGCGGGACACGUGGUAUCCUGUCUGAAUAUGGGGGGACCAUCCUCCAAGGCUAAAUACUCCUGACUGACCGAUAGUGAACCAGUACCGUGAGGGAAAGGCGAAAAGAACCCCGGCGAGGGGAGUGAAAAAGAACCUGAAACCGUGUACGUACAAGCAGUGGGAGCCUCUUAAUGGGGUGACUGCGUACCUUUUGUAUAAUGGGUCAGCGACUUAUAUUCUGUAGCAAGGUUAACCGAAUAGGGGAGCCGAAGGGAAACCGAGUCUUAACUGGGCGUUAAGUUGCAGGGUAUAGACCCGAAACCCGGUGAUCUAGCCAUGGGCAGGUUGAAGGUUGGGUAACACUAACUGGAGGACCGAACCGACUAAUGUUGAAAAAUUAGCGGAUGACUUGUGGCUGGGGGUGAAAGGCCAAUCAAACCGGGAGAUAGCUGGUUCUCCCCGAAAGCUAUUUAGGUAGCGCCUCGUGAAUUCAUCUCCGGGGGUAGAGCACUGUUUCGGCAAGGGGGUCAUCCCGACUUACCAACCCGAUGCAAACUGCGAAUACCGGAGAAUGUUAUCACGGGAGACACACGGCGGGUGCUAACGUCCGUCGUGAAGAGGGAAACAACCCAGACCGCCAGCUAAGGUCCCAAAGUCAUGGUUAAGUGGGAAACGAUGUGGGAAGGCCCAGACAGCCAGGAUGUUGGCUUAGAAGCAGCCAUCAUUUAAAGAAAGCGUAAUAGCUCACUGGUCGAGUCGGCCUGCGCGGAAGAUGUAACGGGGCUAAACCAUGCACCGAAGCUGCGGCAGCGACACUAUGUGUUGUUGGGUAGGGGAGCGUUCUGUAAGCCUGUGAAGGUGGCCUGUGAGGGUUGCUGGAGGUAUCAGAAGUGCGAAUGCUGACAUAAGUAACGAUAAAGCGGGUGAAAAGCCCGCUCGCCGGAAGACCAAGGGUUCCUGUCCAACGUUAAUCGGGGCAGGGUGAGUCGACCCCUAAGGCGAGGCCGAAAGGCGUAGUCGAUGGGAAACAGGUUAAUAUUCCUGUACUUGGUGUUACUGCGAAGGGGGGACGGAGAAGGCUAUGUUGGCCGGGCGACGGUUGUCCCGGUUUAAGCGUGUAGGCUGGUUUUCCAGGCAAAUCCGGAAAACCAAGGCUGAGGCGUGAUGACGAGGCACUACGGUGCUGAAGCGACAAAUGCCCUGCUUCCAGGAAAAGCCUCUAAGCAUCAGGUAACAUCAAAUCGUACCCCAAACCGACACAGGUGGUCAGGUAGAGAAUACCAAGGCGCUUGAGAGAACUCGGGUGAAGGAACUAGGCAAAAUGGUGCCGUAACUUCGGGAGAAGGCACGCUGAUAUGUAGGUGAAGCGACUUGCUCGUGGAGCUGAAAUCAGUCGAAGAUACCAGCUGGCUGCAACUGUUUAUUAAAAACACAGCACUGUGCAAACACGAAAGUGGACGUAUACGGUGUGACGCCUGCCCGGUGCCGGAAGGUUAAUUGAUGGGGUUAGCGGUAACGCGAAGCUCUUGAUCGAAGCCCCGGUAAACGGCGGCCGUAACUAUAACGGUCCUAAGGUAGCGAAAUUCCUUGUCGGGUAAGUUCCGACCUGCACGAAUGGCGUAAUGAUGGCCAGGCUGUCUCCACCCGAGACUCAGUGAAAUUGAACUCGCUGUGAAGAUGCAGUGUACCCGCGGCAAGACGGAAAGACCCCGUGAACCUUUACUAUAGCUUGACACUGAACAUUGAGCCUUGAUGUGUAGGAUAGGUGGGAGGCUUUGAAGUGUGGACGCCAGUCUGCAUGGAGCCGACCUUGAAAUACCACCCUUUAAUGUUUGAUGUUCUAACGUUGGCCCCUAAUCGGGGUUGCGGACAGUGUCUGGUGGGUAGUUUGACUGGGGCGGUCUCCUCCUAAAGAGUAACGGAGGAGCACGAAGGUUGGCUAAUCCUGGUCGGACAUCAGGAGGUUAGUGCAAUGGCAUAAGCCAGCUUGACUGCGAGCGUGACGGCGCGAGCAGGUGCGAAAGCAGGUCAUAGUGAUCCGGUGGUUCUGAAUGGAAGGGCCAUCGCUCAACGGAUAAAAGGUACUCCGGGGAUAACAGGCUGAUACCGCCCAAGAGUUCAUAUCGACGGCGGUGUUUGGCACCUCGAUGUCGGCUCAUCACAUCCUGGGGCUGAAGUAGGUCCCAAGGGUAUGGCUGUUCGCCAUUUAAAGUGGUACGCGAGCUGGGUUUAGAACGUCGUGAGACAGUUCGGUCCCUAUCUGCCGUGGGCGCUGGAGAACUGAGGGGGGCUGCUCCUAGUACGAGAGGACCGGAGUGGACGCAUCACUGGUGUUCGGGUUGUCAUGCCAAUGGCACUGCCCGGUAGCUAAAUGCGGAAGAGAUAAGUGCUGAAAGCAUCUAAGCACGAAACUUGCCCCGAGAUGAGUUCUCCCUGAGACUUAGAGUCUCCUGAAGGAACGUUGAAGACGACGACGUUGAUAGGCCGGGUGUGUAAGCGCAGCGAUGCGUUGAGCUAACCGGUACUAAUGAACCGUGAGGCUUAACCUU